rnacentral:rRNA from 1 species
CUGCCCUAUGCAGGGGGAUAAGCGGAAGAAAUUCCGUCUAAUACCGCAUAACACCAUUUGGAGACAUCUCCAGGUGGUCAAAGGAGGCGACUCCGGCAUAGGAUGGCCAUGCGUCGCAUUAGCUAGUCGGCGGGGUAACGGCCCACCGAGGCGACGAUGCGUAGGGGUUCUGAGAGGAAGGUCCCCCACACUGGUACUGAGACACGGACCAGACUCCUACGGGAGGCAGCAGUGAGGAAUAUUGGUCAAUGGGCGCAAGCCUGAACCAGCCAAGUCGCGUGAGGGAAGACGGUCCUAUGGAUUGUAAACCUCUUUUGUCGGGGAGCAAAGCGCGGUACGAGUACCGCGAAGGAGAGUACCCGAAGAAAAAGCAUCGGCUAGCUCCGUGCCAGCAGCCGCGGUAAUACGGAGGAUGCGAGCGUUAUCCGGAUUUAUUGGGUUUAAAGGGUGCGUAGGCGGAUUUGUAAGUCAGCGGUAAAAAUGCGGUGCUCAACGCCGUAUCGCCGUUGAAACUGCAGGUCUUGAGUGAGCGAGAAGUAUGCGGAAUGCGUGGUGUAGCGGUGAAAUGCAUAGAUAUCACGCAGAACUCCGAUUGUGAAGGCAGCAUACCGGCGCUCAACUGACGCUGAGGCACGAAAGCGUGGGGAUCGAACAGGAUUAGAUACCCUGGUAGUCCACGCAGUAAACGAUGA